rnacentral:rRNA from 1 species
GACGAACGCUGGCGGCGUGCUUAACACAUGCAAGUCGAACGGAAAGGCCCUGCUUUUGUGGGGUGCUCGAGUGGCGAACGGGUGAGUAACACGUGAGUAACCUGCCCUUGACUUUGGGAUAACUUCAGGAAACUGGGGCUAAUACCGGAUAGGAGCUCCUGCUGCAUGGUGGGGGUUGGAAAGUUUCGGCGGUUGGGGAUGGACUCGCGGCUUAUCAGCUUGUUGGUGGGGUAGUGGCUUACCAAGGCUUUGACGGGUAGCCGGCCUGAGAGGGUGACCGGCCACAUUGGGACUGAGAUACGGCCCAGACUCUUACGGGAGGCAGCAGUGGGGAAUAUUGCACAAUGGGCGGAAGCCUGAUGCAGCAACGCCGCGUGCGGGAUGACGGCCUUCGGGUUGUAAACCGCUUUCGCCUGUGACGAAGCGUGAGUGACGGUAAUGGGUAAAGAAGCACCGGCUAACUACGUGCCAGCAGCCGCGGUGAUACGUAGGGUGCGAGCGUUGUCCGGAUUUAUUGGGCGUAAAGGGCUCGUAGGUGGUUGAUCGCGUCGGAAGUGUAAUCUUGGGGCUUAACCCUGAGCGUGCUUUCGAUACGGGUUGACUUGAGGAAGGUAGGGGAGAAUGGAAUUCCUGGUGGAGCGGUGGAAUGCGCAGAUAUCAGGAGGAACACCAGUGGCGAAGGCGGUUCUCUGGGCCUUUCCUGACGCUGAGGAGCGAAAGCGUGGGGAGCGAACAGGCUUAGAUACCCUGGUAGUCCACGCUGUAAACGGUGGGUACUAGGUGUGGGGUCCAUUCCACGGGUUCCGUGCCGUAGCUAACGCUUUAAGUACCCCGCCUGGGGAGUACGGCCGCAAGGCUAAAACUCAAAGGAAUUGACGGGGCCCCGCACAAGCGGCGGAGCAUGCGGAUUAAUUCGAUGCAACGCGUAGAACCUUACCUGGGUUUGACAUGGAUCGGGAGUGCUCAGAGAUGGGUGUGCCUCUUUUGGGGUCGGUUCACAGGUGGUGCAUGGCUGUCGUCAGCUCGUGUCGUGAGAUGUUGGGUUAAGUCCCGCAACGAGCGCAACCCUUGUUCACUGUUGCCAGCACGUUAUGGUGGGGACUCAGUGGAGACCGCCGGGGUCAACUCGGAGGAAGGUGGGGAUGACGUCAAGUCAUCAUGCCCCUUAUGUCCAGGGCUUCACGCAUGCUACAAUGGCUGGUACAGAGAGUGGCGAGCCUGUGAGGGUGAGCGAAUCUCGGAAAGUCGGUCUCAGUUCGGAUUGGGGUCUGCAACUCGACCUCAUGAAGUCGGAGUCGCUAGUAAUCGCAGAUCAGCAACGCUGCGGUGAAUACGUUCCCGGGGCU